rnacentral:misc_RNA from 1 species
GCCGAACUUCAAGAUUCAAGAUUACAAAGCAAAAGGCAAAAGCAAAACCUGAUCACCAUCUCCACCUAGCCCCCGAAAAUCUCACUUCUUCCACACCCAAACUCUCUCUCUCCCUCUCUCUCUCGCACACCUGCCUGCCUACCUACCAUAAAAACCAGAUCAACCUUUCCCUACUCUCCCUUUCUUCUCCAGAGCCGUAUGCAAACCCCACACUCUAUCUCUCUAUGUUUCUACUACUAUAUCUGUAGGUGUACAUUGAUGAAGUGUUUGCUGCUUUGAUACUGCUAUGGAAGGGAAAGAAGUGGUAAAGAUUGAGAAUUUUGUUGGAUCGACAACAUUUCCUGAUCAUAUUCAGAGCAGUUAUCCUCUCCAAGGUUUAUUUGAUUUCUGUGAAGGAGAUAGGAGCUCUUUAGGGUUUAUGGAGCUACUGGGUAUGCAGGACUACAGUCCUUUCGUGUUUGAUAUGCUGCCAGUACCAUCUAUGCUGCAACCUGCAGCUUCUAAACCAGUUGUUACAAAGAUGGAAUCCCCAGAGGCGUUGAAUCAGCCUGCAACUCCCAACUCUUCGUCGAUUUCCUCAGCGUCCAGUGAGGCUUUAAAUGAUGAACCGGUUAUGGCUGCUGAUAAUGAGGAAGAAGAGCAGCAGAAGACCAAGAAAGAGUUGAAGCCCAAGAAGACAAAUCAAAAGAGACAGAGAGAGCCGAGAUUCGCUUUCAUGACGAAGAGCGAUGUUGAUCAUCUGGAAGAUGGGUACAGAUGGAGAAAGUACGGGCAGAAAGCUGUGAAAAAUAGCCCCUUUCCUAGGAGUUACUAUCGUUGCACCAGUGCCUCAUGUAAUGUGAAAAAGAGAGUAGAGAGAUCUUUUAGUGAUCCAAGCAUCGUUGUGACCACCUAUGAAGGCCAACACAUCCAUCCUAGCCCUGUUAUGCCCCGUCCAAGCUUUGCUGGAGCUGCGUCAGAGUCUGGUUUCUCCGCAACUACUUUUGCCAUGCCAAUGCAAAGAAGACUAUCGCUCUAUCAACAGCAGCAACAACCCCUUGUCAAUAGCUUCUCACCUCUGGGUUUCGGUUAUAACGGAACAACAAAUGCUAGUUUUCUACAUGAAAGGCGCUUUUGCACCAACCCAGCGGGGUCUACUUUGCUUGAGGAUCAUGGGCUUCUUGAAGACAUUGUCCCCUCCCAUAUGCUAAACGAGGAGUAGAUGAGAACACGAUUGCUACUUUGUAGUUCCAUUCACUGACUUUAAACGGAGGCGUAGAUGACCCUUUACUGUGAUAUAAAAAAUAUAUUAUAUAUAGUAUGUGAUUUUCUUGCUGACAGGUCAUGAUCUUUAUCUUGAAGAACCCAACUUCCAUUCACUGUAAGAUGGAGUUUUUCUUCAAUGCUGUGGACUAGCUUCUUUCUCUGAUACUGUUUUUUAUUUCCCACCUUUUUCUAUUUCUGUGGUUUUGGGUUAGUAGGGAUUGUACGUGAUAUGGAAAAGGAGGUUAUUUCAACUUUAACGCUAUCUUCUGACUCCAUCAUUUGUCUUUUGCCAUUUGUUUUGUUAUCGAAGGAAUGUGCAUUGAUUUCAAGAGAGAAAGUAAUGCAAUCCAG